rnacentral:snoRNA from 1 species
UAUGAUGAUAUAAUCCACUCAGGAUUCCCUCUUCUGAGUAGAACCCUAAACAACCGUGCUGUCCACAUUCCCUGUCUGAA